AUUGAACGCUGGCGGCAUGCCUUACACAUGCAAGUCGAACGGUAACGGGCCUUCGGGUGCCGACGAGUGGCGAACGGGUGAGUAAUACAUCGGAACGUGCCCGAUCGUGGGGGAUAACGAGGCGAAAGCUUUGCUAAUACCGCAUACGAUCUACGGAUGAAAGCAGGGGACCGCAAGGCCUUGCGCGGACGGAGCGGCCGAUGGCAGAUUAGGUAGUGGGUGGGAUAAAAGCUUACCAAGCCGACGAUCUGUAGCUGGUCUGAGAGGAUGAUCAGCCACACUGGGACUGAGACACGGCCCAGACUCCUACGGGAGGCAGCAGUGGGGAAUUUUGGACAAAGGGCGCAAGCCUGAUCCAGCCAUGCCGCGUGCAGGAUGAAGGCCUUCGGGUUGUAAACUGCUUUUGUACGGAACGAAAAGCCUUCUUUUAAUACAGGAGGGUCAUGACGGUACCGUAAGAAUAAGCACCGGCUAACUACGUG
rnacentral:rRNA from 1 species